rnacentral:rRNA from 1 species
AUUGAACGCUGGCGGCAGGCUUAACACAUGCAAGUCGAACGAGUGGCGGACGGGUGAGUAAUGCCUGGGAAACUGCCCGAUGGAGGGGGAUCACUACUGGAAAAGGUAGCUAAAUCCGCAUACCCUCAGAUGUGCCCAGAUGGGAUUAGCAAGUUGGGGGGGUAAUGGCUCACCAAGGCGACGAUCCCUAGCUGGUCUGAGAGGAUGACCAGCCACACUGGAACUGAGACACGGUCCAGACUCCUACGGGAGGCAGCAGUGGGGAAUAUUGCACAAUGGGCGCAAUCCUGAUGCAGCCAUGCCGCGUGUAUGAAGAAGGCUUUCGGGUUGUAAAGUACUUUCAGCGGGGAGGCGUUACCCGCAGAAGAAGCACCGGCUAACUCCGUGCCAGCCGCCGCGGUAAUUC